rnacentral:rRNA from 1 species
GGGGGAUGCAAGUGUUAUCCGGAAUUAUUGGGCGUAAAGCGUCUGUAGGUUGUUUAAUAAGUCUAUUGUUAAAGCGUGUAACUUAACUUCAUAGAUGCAGUAGAAACUGUUAGACUAGAGUAUAAUUGAGGUAGAAGGAAUUUCCAGUGGAGUGGUGAAAUGCGUAGAUAUUGGAAAGAACACCAAUUGCGAAGGCAUUCUAUUAAAUUAUUCUGACACUCAGAGACGAAAGCUAGGGUAGCAAAUGGGAUUAGAUACCCCAGUAGUCCUAGCCGUAAACGAUGGAUACUAUAUAUUAGACGCAUCGACCCGUUUGGUAUUAAAGCUAACGCGUUAAGUAUCCCGCCUGGGGAGUACGCUCGCAAGAGUUAAACUCAAAGGAAUUGACGGGGGCCCGCACAAGCGGUGGAGCAUGUGGUUUAAUUUGAUGCAACGCGAAGAACCUUACCAGGGUUUGACAUGGUAUAAAAUUUCUCGAAAGAGAAUGGGUGUUUACACAUAUACACACAGGUGGUGCAUGGCU